AGCUGGGGUCAGGGUGAAGGUCACCAUAUAAAUGGAGGAAUUAGCAGAAGCAGAUUGUAAAGGAUUUUUUAGGCCAUUUUAAGAUUAGAUUUUAUUCCGAGUGUAAUAGGAAGCCUUUGAAGGUUUUUAAUAGAGAGGUCAUUAAAUGCAGUUUACAUUUUUAAAAGCUCUUUGUGACUGCUACCUGGAGAAUGGGUUGGGGUGGGAACAAGAUCAAGAGAGGAGGAAUCACUUCUGAGGCUGAGAAGACGCUAGUGGUUUAUACCAGGGCACUUUCUGCGAUGGAAUCGGGCAAGCACCUUUUGGAGGCCCAUGCAGAAGAGCUUGUGUGCUGUAGAAAAGGCUGAGAAGGAAACCUGGAUUGAUACAGAGAUUUGACUUGAAUUCAGAGAGAAUAA
rnacentral:lncRNA from 13 species